CCAACCCGGCGGGCUUUAAGACCCGGGUGAAGCGGAAGAAGAAGAAUCCCUGUCUCGGCUCUCGCGCUUCUCCUCCAUCCUCCUCCAGACCAGCACCAUGAUAUUACAUCUCAUCCCUCACGCUGUGCUGCUGGGCUGCUGUGUUGUGGUGAGCGCUCUAAUCGAUGACUCCACGUUGGCCGAGAGACCUUACGAAGUCCUGCGGAAGCAGAACUUAGUCUCUCUGGGAAGCGUCCUCGCCGUCCUCCUCCUGCUGAUGGUCAUCAUGGCUGUGUGCGUCUACAAGCCGCUUUCCCGCCGCUGACAGACUGCUGCCGUCCUCCCCACUGACUCUUUCUCACAAGAUCGGGCAGGAGGAAUGGGUCAUCCUGUAUAAACUAAAGCCUCUCCCAUACAUGCAAAACCCUACGUGACCCCACAAUCUUCCUCUGUCUCAGGUCUUUUCAGAAUUGCUGCGUGCUUGGAUGAUGCAGGUCAGCUGCAGAAAUCCAGAAGAUUACUUUGGGUUUGCAGGAAAAAUGACAUGAAAACAUCAACUAAUAGUGUCUUUAUUUUUGGUUCUUCAAUGCGAUUUUUGUGAUAAAAUGGCCUUCUGAUGGGAGAAAAUGGGGAUCUAUUGGUCAGGUUAAUUAAUUAAGGUCCAAUCUUUAGGUAAAUCCAGACAGAUUAGUGAAGGAUGGAAACAUAGGAGGAACUUUAGAACUUUUUAAGCACAUAGAAGCACAGAUUUUUUUUUUUUUUUUUUGUGGGAGAAAGUUUAUCCUGCUGUCCUGCUGCUGAAUUUUAAGCCACACUAACAGAACUACAGUGACCAGGGUGAUUGCCGACCUUCCAGGAUGGUCUCCUGACGCUCCGGACAUCACACUGAAUAAAAAUCAGAUCAAUGAACAGAUUUUACACAAGAUAUUUGUGAUUAAACCUUAGCAUCCUGCUGGGUAUUUAUUUAUGAUGUUAAUUUAUUUUGAAAGUACUUCAGUUCAUUCAUUUUUUAAGCAACAAUAAGCCACUAAACCACUUUUUUUUAAAAUAAUGCUUACUUUGAAAACCUAUUUGAUGGAAAAACUGUAAUCUAGAGACAAAAAAAAAUGUUUCUCUAAUGAAUCUUUUUUUUGUUGCCACAAGAUGUUUGCAAAUUGAUGCAAAAAAAAAUAAAGAAUGCUGCAAGUUUCCUGUGUUUUAAUUAGAGCAGAUAUAUUGGCAGAGUGAAUGAUAAUAAACUGCUGAUUUUUAGCUAUUUGAGUAAAGUGCCAGACAAUGAAGUAAAAAAAAUAAAUAAACGGAAAUUUGGAUUAUCUAAAGCAAAUUUUCUGUGUUUAGAGAAGUUUCUUAAGCAGCUUUAAACCUGAAUUCCCCAAACCAUAGACAGUAAUUGAAUUUAGAGCAUAGAAAAAUUCACUGCAGAUUAAAUAUUUUCAUUUUAAAAAGCUUAACAUGAACUAAAACAAUAUAAAAAAUAAACCUCCCUGAUAGGACAUGUUUCAUGGCAAAGGAGUGUAGAUUGCUCCUUCUGCUUUAUCAGAUACACCUCUGCAAAGAAAUCACACAAACUACAUGAGUAGUCGUCAUGGAAAUAAAGUGCUUUUAUUUUUAGAACAUUUUCAGACACAUUCGCUCUUAAAAGUUUAAACAUACAAACUUUUUUUUUUUAAAAGCUGCUCGGUGUUGAAAUCGUUGCAUUAUUUUACCCUUAGUUAACCUUUAUUUUUGACUGUUCAGCAGGUUGGCAAGUUAAGUCUUUAGAAUGAGCCGCCGUAAAGCCAGAGGCGCAGUCCGACAACCAAUCAGAGAGCUUAAAAAAGUGGCUGGCUGUCAGUUAAAUCAACUUCAGUGGUUAAUGAAUGUCUCUCAGACUCGGUAGUACACGUGGGACCCUUUUUUUCUUCUGAGAAAGACAAAAUCUGGAAAUUAAAAUAAAAAUAUAUAUAUAUUUUAAAGGUUUAUUUGAAGUGGCACUCGAUAAAGCUGUCACCACAGACACAGUGACUCCAUCAGGCAAGUUCAGAGCUAAAGCAAUCCUUGGCACACAAUUCAGAAGCUACUGCUAAAAGCAAGCUCGAUCUGGGGAGUCUUUCCUUCCAUUUGGGAGGUGUUAAGUUGUUUGCUGCUACAAAAGGCAAAGUAUCCGUACAGACUUCAAUAAUCUCUGUUACAGUAGUUGAGUUAGUGGUCCAUCACAGUCCACAGACAGACGGUCUCACAUAUAGCUUUUUUUCCCCCUCUGCUGUUGAGGUGAAGCUGCUCAGUGGCGGUUUAUUUAAAAAGAAAAGAAAAAUCAAGACAAAUGACUAAAACAGGCCCCAUUUUCAAAACUUCCAUCCUGGUCGCAGCAGAAAUACGGCACCAUGCAUCUUAUUUUAACCUCUCACAGCUACAUGCUUUAGUUUCCCCAUCCGUAUUCUCUACAUGAAGGAAGUACACGGAAAAGCGUUCACAAGUGUUCCCAACUUUUUGAAUCAACAACAUAGCACACGGACAGAUAUGCAUGGCUGGUACCUUAAAUAAAAAGAUUACAAUUUGUUUUAAACGACAGUUGUACAAUUAACACACUAAUUCCAAUUAAAGGGAAAGUAGAAACCCUGAGAUUGCUCUUAAUCUGUGAGGCCAAGAUGCUCAAAAUAGAGACUCUGCAGAAAGACUUCAUUAAAAAAAAAAAAAGAACAUUUAAAUCUGUCCUAGUGGCUCUGCAGUGCUUGCAGUUUCAUGUCGCGCUGUGGGCUGUUUUUUUACCCAGCUCACAAAAUCAGCGGUGACAAGUUCUGGCAACAAUGAAAAGGACUUAUUCUUCUUACGAUUUAAGAGCACCAUCGGGGCACCAUCCUUUCAGAAGAUCAGAUGCUGUAAUCCAACCUAUGUGUUCAUAGAACUUAAGCUGCAUCAAUGUCAAACCUCCCCUGAAAACGAUAGGAAUGACUGAUGGUGCAUGAAUGAGUUGGAGAAAAAAAAAAAAAAA